GGGGCUGUGGCUCUGUGGUAGAGCACUUGCCUAGCAUGUAUGAGGCACUGGGUUCGAUCCUCAGCACUA
rnacentral:tRNA from 1 species